rnacentral:misc_RNA from 1 species
GGUAUAAGGAGAUCAAGCAAGAGGAGGAAGGUGAAUUCAUUGAUGGAUUUGGAUUUUAGAAAGUCUAAACGGCUGGUUUUGAUGAGGGAUCGAAGGGAAAAAUCGUGUUAUCCAUUGGGAUUGAGAGGAUUGAACAAUUUGGGCAGUACUUGCUUCAUGAAUUCUGUGUUGCAAGCAUUGCUUCAUGCACCCCCUUUCAGGAAUUACUUCUUGAGUGGUCGACAUGACCGUGAAACUUGUAAGAAGAGAUCAGCAGAUCGAUUAUGUUUGGCUUGCAAUAUUGAUGUUAUUUUCUCUGCUGUGUAUUCUGGGGAUCGAACACCUUACAGCCCUGCUCAGGUUCUUUACAGUUGGUGGCAGCAUUCAGCAAAGCUAAAUCUAGCUAGUUACGAACAGCAGGAUGCUCAUGAAUUCUUCAUUUC